rnacentral:ribozyme from 1 species
UCAAUUCAUGCUGCUCUGUAACGGGCUGGAUCCGACGCCUUCUUGAAGGCUACUAUAUGCUCUCCUCCCCAACUCCUACACAAUACGUCCGCGACGAAUGGUAACUUGUCGCCUAAAUAUCCAAGCCUGGGUACACGGGGAAACCCACCCCUUUGGGCGGAUGGGCGGCAAGGCUAAAUAUAGAGGG